AUAUCGAUAAGCGGAGGAAAAGAAACCUACAGGGAUUGCCCUAGUAACGGCGAGUGAAGCGGCAACAGCUCAAAUUUGAAAUCUGGCUUCGGCGCGAGUUGUAAUUUGAAGAGGAUGCUUUGGGCGCGGCUCUAACUGAGUUCCCUGGAACGAGACGCCACAGAGGGUGAGAGCCCCGUAUAGUUAGAUGCCUAGUCGAUGUAAAGCUCUUUCGACGAGUCGAGUAGUUUGGGAAUGCUGCUCUAAAUGGGAGGUAAAUUUCUUCUAAAGCUAAAUAUUGGCCAGAGACCGAUAGCGCACAAGAUAGAGUAGAUCGAAAGAUGAAAAGCACUUUGAAAAGAGGGUUAAAUAGCACGUGAAAUUGUUGAAAGGGAGGCGCUUGUGUCCAGACUUGCGCCGGGCAGAUCAUCCUGUGUUCUCACCGGUGCACUCUGCCCGGCUCAGUCCAGCAUCGGUUCUCGUGGGGGGAUAAAGGUCCAGGGACACGUAGCUCCUCCGGGAGUGUUAUAGCUCGGGGCUGUAGUGCCCUCGUGGGGACCGAGGUUCGCGCAUCCGCAAGGAUGCUGGUCUAAUGCUCAUCAGCGA
rnacentral:rRNA from 1 species